rnacentral:rRNA from 1 species
GAUGAACGCUGGCGGCGUGCUUAAUACAUGCAAGUCGAGCGAAGCACUUUAACGGAAUUCUCCGGAAGGAAGGUAAAGUGACUGAGCGGCGGACGGGUGAGUAACGCGUGGGUAACCUGCCUUAUACAGGGGGAUAACAGUUAGAAAUGGCUGCUAAUACCGCAUAAGCGCACAGGACCGCAUGGUCUGGUGUGAAAAACUCCGGUGGUAUAAGAUGGAUCCGCGUCUGACUAGCUAGUUGGUGAGGUAACGGCUCACCAAGGCAACGAUGCGUAGCCGGACUGAGAGGUUGAUCGGCCACAUUGGGACUGAGACACGGCCCAA